CUAAAACUCUUCCACUGGCCCUCACGCUCCUCCCGUAGCCCCUGGAGGGGCUUGAUCCCCAUCCCAAAAUUCACCCAGCAGCCCGGGGGGGGUGCCCUUUGGGUUGAGGCACCCAACGAAGCCCUCGUGGUCCAGCCCUCGCUGGGCACGGGGAGCUGUGCAGCACGGUGCGGGGAGGCAGCAGCGUGGCGUUGGGCCCCUUUUGUUGGGCGCAGGGAUGUGUCCGGGUGGUCACCGGGGUCUCGGUGCCCCCACCUGCUCUUUGAGGGGAUAAAGGGAGAUUUUGGGCCGCGUCUGACCCAGGAGUUUGUUGACGAUGUCCCGGUGCGAGCGGUGAAGCCCUGCAAUGUCGGAGCGGGGACGGGGCAGGGGGAUGCCCUGGGGCUCCCUCCCCGCCCGCCCCACGCUGCGGGGCCCCAGGGCGCCCCUUCCCCUGCCCUGCCCGCGGGCGUCCUCCCGACCCCUCUGUGCCGCACACACGCGGCGAGAAAACCACCCCAGCCCCGCACGCAGCGGGGAGGGCGCAGCAGCAACAGGUACCUGCAGGGAGAGACCCCCUGGGCUGGGCAGGGGAGCCCCCCGCUGUGUAUUUUUUUGGGGGGGCGGGAGGCAGCGCAGCGGUGCAGUGCUGCAGCGGGGGGCCGAAGCGGCCGAAGCGGGGGGCGCGGCGGGGGGCUGGAGCGGGCGUCCUUCGCCUGCCAAGCACGCCACCGCCACCGCCACCGCCACCACCGCCGCCCCGGGUGUGCGGGUGCGUGCGGGAGCCCAAGUGGCGGUCAGCGAUGGAGCCGCUGCCAUGACAACCCCGGGAAGUCAGCCUGCGUGCCGCGCGGGGAUGCUGGCGGCCGGCGGGGCUGCCAUGCUGCCGCUCGCCCCGCUCCUGUGCUGAGCGGGCACCGGGAGGGCGGCCUCUGCCUCCGGGCUCUCCUCCUCAUCAUCCUCCUCCUCCUCCUCAUCCUCCUCCUCCGAGGCUCCGGGACCCGCUCGGAGGAGCCGGGGAGCAACGCGGUGGGGACGUCGCCUGCAGCUCCGCGGGGAAGUUUCGAUCUUGCGUCAGAAUCGGCGUUUGGGGAGCUUGUGCUUUUUUUUUUCUUUUUUCCCCUGCUUUUUUUUUUUCCCCUGCUUUUUUUUUUCUCUGUUUUUUUCUUUUCUUCUCUGUUUUUUUUUUUUCUCUGUUUUUUUUUUUUUUCCGUUUUUUUUUUUUUUCUUUUUUUUUUUCUUUUUUUUUUUUUUUCCUUUUUUUUCUCUUUGCCUUUU
rnacentral:lncRNA from 1 species